rnacentral:rRNA from 1 species
GUGAACGCUGGCGGUAGGCCUAACCCAUGCAAGUCGAACGGCAGCACAGUAGAGCUUGCUCUUACGGGUGGCGAGUGGCGGACGGGUGAGGAAUACAUCGGAAUCUACUUUUUCGUGGGGGAUAACGUAGGGAAACUUACGCUAAUACCGCAUACGACCUACGGGUGAAAGCAGGGGAUCUUCGGACCUUGCGCGAUUGAAUGAGCCGAUGUCGGAUUAGCUAGUUGGCGGGGUAAAGGCCCACCAAGGCGACGAUCCGUAGCUGGUCUGAGAGGAUGAUCAGCCACACUGGAACUGAGACACGGUCCAGACUCCUACGGGAGGCAGCAGUGGGGAAUAUUGGACAAUGGGCGCAAGCCUGAUCCAGCCAUACCGCGUGGGUGAAGAAGGCCUUCGGGUUGUAAAGCCCUUUUGUUGGGAAAGAAAAGCAGCAGGUUAAUACCCCGCUGUUCUGACGGUACCCAAAGAAUAAGCACCGGCUAACUUCGUG